CUUUUGUAUAAUGGGUCAGCGACUUAUAUUCUGUAGCAAGGUUAACCGAAUAGGGGAGCCGGAGGGAAACCGAGUCUUAAUUGGGCGUUAAGUUGCAGGGUAUAGACCCGAAACCCGGUGAUCUAGCCAUGGGCAGGUUGAAGGUUGGGUAACACUAACUGGAGGACCGAACCGACUAAUGUUGAAAAAUUAGCGGAUGACCUGUGGCUGGGGGUGAAAGGCCAAUCAAACCGGGAGAUAGCUGGUUCUCCCCGAAAGCUAUUUAGGUAGCGCCUCGUGAAUUCAUCUCCGGGGGUAGAGCACUGUUUCGGCUAGGGGGCCAUCCCGGCUUACCAACCCGAUGCAAACUGCGAAUACCGGAGAAUGUUAUCACGGGAGACACACGGCGGGUGCUAACGUCCGUCGUGAAGAGGGAAACAACCCAGACCGCCAGCUAAGGUCCCAAAGUCAUGGUUAAGUGGGAAACGAUGUGGGAAGGCCCAGACAGCCAGGAUGUUGGCUUAGAAGCAGCCAUCAUUUAAAGAAAGCGUAAUAGCUCACUGGUCGAGUCGGCCUGCGCGGAAGAUGUAACGGGGCUAAACCAUGCACCGAAGCUGCGGCAGCGACACUAUGUGUUGUUGGGUAGGGGAGCGUUCUGUAAGCCUGUGAAGGUGUGUCGUGAGGCAUGCUGGAGGUAUCAGAAGUGCGAAUGCUGACAUAAGUAACGAUAAAGCGGGUGAAAAGCCCGCUCGCCGGAAGACCAAGGGUUCCUGUCCAACGUUAAUCGGGGCAGGGUGAGUCGACCCCUAAGGCGAGGCCGAAAGGCGUAGUCGAUGGGAAACGGGUUAAUAUUCCCGUACUUGGUGUUACUGCGAAGGGGGGACGGAGAAGGCUAUGUUGGCCGGGCGACGGUUGUCCCGGUUUAAGCGUGUAGGUGUGUGUUCCAGGUAAAUCCGGUUCACUUUAACACUGAGGCGUGACGACGAGGCACUACGGUGCUGAAGCAACAAAUGCCCUGCUUCCAGGAAAAGCCUCUAAGCAUCAGGUAACAUCAAAUCGUACCCCAAACCGACACAGGUGGUCAGGUAGAGAAUACCAAGGCGCUUGAGAGAACUCGGGUGAAGGAACUAGGCAAAAUGGUGCCGUAACUUCGGGAGAAGGCACGCUGACACGUAGGUGAAGUGAUUUACUCAUGGAGCUGAAGUCAGUCGAAGAUACCAGCUGGCUGCAACUGUUUAUUAAAAACACAGCACUGUGCAAACACGAAAGUGGACGUAUACGGUGUGACGCCUGCCCGGUGCCGGAAGGUUAAUUGAUGGGGUCAGCGCAAGCGAAGCUCCUGAUCGAAGCCCCGGUAAACGGCGGCCGUAACUAUAACGGUCCUAAGGUAGCGAAAUUCCUUGUCGGGUAAGUUCCGACCUGCACGAAUGGCGUAAUGAUGGCCAGGCUGUCUCCACCCGAGACUCAGUGAAAUUGAACUCGCUGUGAAGAUGCAGUGUACCCGCGGCAAGACGGAAAGACCCCGUGAACCUUUACUAUAGCUUGACACUGAACAUUGAGCCUUGAUGUGUAGGAUAGGUGGGAGGCUUUGAAGUGUGGACGCCAGUCUGCAUGGAGCCGACCUUGAAAUACCACCCUUUAAUGUUUGAUGUUCUAACGUGGACCCGUGAUCCGGGUUGCGGACAGUGUCUGGUGGGUAGUUUGACUGGGGCGGUCUCCUCCUAAAGAGUAACGGAGGAGCACGAAGGUUGGCUAAUCCUGGUCGGACAUCAGGAGGUUAGUGCAAUGGCAUAAGCCAGCUUGACUGCGAGCGUGACGGCGCGAGCAGGUGCGAAAGCAGGUCAUAGUGAUCCGGUGGUUCUGAAUGGAAGGGCCAUCGCUCAACGGAUAAAAGGUACUCCGGGGAUAACAGGCUGAUACCGCCCAAGAGUUCAUAUCGACGGCGGUGUUUGGCACCUCGAUGUCGGCUCAUCACAUCCUGGGGCUGAAGUAGGUCCCAAGGGUAUGGCUGUUCGCCAUUUAAAGUGGUACGCGAGCUGGGUUUAGAACGUCGUGAGACAGUUCGGUCCCUAUCUGCCGUGGGCGCUGGAGAACUGAGGGGGGCUGCUCCUAGUACGAGAGGACCGGAGUGGACGCAUCACUGGUGUUCGGGUUGUCAUGCCAAUGGCACUGCCCGGUAGCUAAAUGCGGAAGAGAUAAGUGCUGAAAGCAUCUAAGCACGAAACUUGCCCCGAGAUGAGUUCUCCCUGAGACUUAAAGUCUCCUGAAGGAACGUUGAAGACGACGACGUUGAUAGGCCGGGUGUGUAAGCGCAGCGAUGCGUUGAGCUAACCGGUACUAAUGAACCGUGAGGCUUAACCUUACA
rnacentral:rRNA from 1 species